rnacentral:lncRNA from 1 species
GUAUGAGAAGGAGUGUUUCAUACCAACAAAAUCUAUUGUUGGUAUGAAAUCUCUCUAAAAUUCUUAUAGAAAAUUCAGCAAUAUCAGAAGAAUCUCUGGUAGGUCUCUUGUCUAUUUAUAAAAUAUUAGUAUUUUUAAAAUAACAACUAUUUUCUUUUUUUCAUUAAAAGACUUCAUCACAUGCAAUAAAAUCAGUGUUUCUACACAUUUAAGAACCGGCAAACCAUGGAGCCCAUCACCUGACACAAGCCUCAACUGUGGGUUCCAGGACAGACAGAAGGAAGCCCUUCCAGAGCAGGAGGUGGAGAUGCAAGGGCAGGAACCGGGACCUGCCAAGCGCCUCACUGCUGCUCAAAGGUUUGCAAAGCCACUGUCAUUUAGCUUGACCGUGACACUACUUUAAUUGCCUGACUCAAAAUGCUAUGGAUUUCUGGGAGAUCUAGUUUUACAGGGUCUUCUGUAUUCAUCUUGUGGGUCCUGAAGUAGAGGUGGAAUACCUGGUGGAAUACCUGGUGGAAUACCUGGAAACACGUGACAUAUAGUACUGGUGUGCUGCCUCAAGUUGUAGGUGGAGAAAAUAAGUUAUAGCCAUAGUUCAGCUAGUGGACCUGCAGAUUCCUAGGAAAUACCUCUCUAUUGGCAUAACUCUGUGGACCACAUUUGUUGUUUUCAGAUAAAAAUGUAUUUAUUUUCCCAUUUUCACAGUGGUUCUGUGAGGAUACCUUUGGGAUUCCUUUAAAGGAGAUUUUAUUCCUAGAAACAUUGAGAAUUUACUAAAAGUCGGUGGAUGACCCAAACAUUCUGACACUUGAUGGGCUUGCUUGCAGUAGACAAUGUGUCUUGUCCUCCAAGUGUGGACCCCACCCCACCCCACUCCACUCCAGCCAGCUAUAGCAGCUAAAAAAGAUUUAAUCUUUUGACAAAAAUUUUAAAAUUCUCCCCAAAAUGUGCUAAUCUUUCUGAAACUUGGGGGGUGGGUGGACUGAUGCUCUGGUUAUGUUAUGUAAUUGUAGGAAAAAUCAAGGACAUGGUUCUUGUAGUUUGUUUUGAUUUUUAUUUUGUAAAAACCUAAAAUAUU